rnacentral:rRNA from 1 species
UGCCUCAGUAACGGCGAGUGAAGCGGCAAAAGCUCAAAUUUGAAAUCUGGCUCUUUUAGGGUCCGAGUUGUAAUUUGUAGAAGAUGUUUCGGGUGUGGCUCCGGUUUAAGUUCUUUGGAAUAUUACAUCAUAGAGGGUGAGAAUCCCGUAUGUGACCGGCAGCCUCCGCCUAUGUGAAACUCUUUCGACGAGUCGAGUUGUUUGGGAAUGCAGCUCAAAAUGGGAGGUAUAUUUCUUCUAAAGCUAAAUAUUGGCCAGAGACCGAUAGCGCACAAGUAGAGUGAUCGAAAGAUGAAAAGCACUUUGGAAAGAGAGUUAAACAGUACGUGAAAUUGUUGAAAGGGAAGCGCUUGCAACCAGACUUGCACGCAGUUGAUCAUCCGGUGUUCUCACCGGGGCACUCUGCUGCGUUCAGGCCAGCAUCGGUUUUGGUGGUUGGAUAAAGGCCUUGGGAAUGUGGCUUCCUUCGGGGAGUGUUAUAGCCCUCGGUGCAAUGCAGCCUACCGGGACCGAGGACCGCGCUUCGGCUAGGAUGCUGGCGUAAUGGUUGUAAGCGACCCGUCUUGAAACACGGACCAAGGAGUCUAACAUCUAUGCGAGUGUUUGGGUGUUAAACCCAUACGCGUAAUGAAAGUGAACGGAGGUGAGAACCCUUAAGGGUGCAUCAUCGACCGGUCCUGAUAUUUUUGGAUGGAUCUGAGUAAGAGCAUAGCUGUUGGGACCCGAAAGAUGGUGAACUAUGCGUGAAUAGGGUGAAGCCAGAGGAAACUCUGGUGGAGGCUCGCAGCGGUUCUGACGUGCAAAUCGAUCGUCAAAUUUGCGCAUAGGGGCGAAAGACUUAUCGAACCAUUAAGGAAUAACUACUAGGUGGUAAAAAGGCCAUAAUACGGCCUAGUCCUCCCCCGAGGGCGACAUUGUCAAAUUGUUCGGGGACCUCCUGAUAACUCUCAGACUACCGCAGCCUGCCCGAAAGGGGGGUGCGCACCGGGCUAACGACCCUGGGGAUGGUAAUAACGUCUGGGGUAGGGAUGAUCCGCAGCCAAGUCCUACCGCCCCCCCCGGGG